GAAACAUCUUCGGGUUGUGAGGUUAAGCGACUAAGCGUACACGGUGGAUGCCCUGGCAGUCAGAGGCGAUGAAGGACGUGCUAAUCUGCGAUAAGCGUCGGUAAGGUGAUAUGAACCGUUAUAACCGGCGAUUUCCGAAUGGGGAAACCCAGUGUGUUUCGACACACUAUCAUUAACUGAAUCCAUAGGUUAAUGAGGCGAACCGGGGGAACUGAAACAUCUAAGUACCCCGAGGAAAAGAAAUCAACCGAGAUUCCCCCAGUAGCGGCGAGCGAACGGGGAGCAGCCCAGAGCCUGAAUCAGUGUGUGUGUUAGUGGAAGCGUCUGGAAAGGCGCGCGAUACAGGGUGACAGCCCCGUACACAAAAAUGCACAUACUGUGAGCUCGAUGAGUAGGGCGGGACACGUGGUAUCCUGUCUGAAUAUGGGGGGACCAUCCUCCAAGGCUAAAUACUCCUGACUGACCGAUAGUGAACCAGUACCGUGAGGGAAAGGCGAAAAGAACCCCGGCGAGGGGAGUGAAAAAGAACCUGAAACCGUGUACGUACAAGCAGUGGGAGCACGCUUAGGCGUGUGACUGCGUACCUUUUGUAUAAUGGGUCAGCGACUUAUAUUCUGUAGCAAGGUUAACCGAAUAGGGGAGCCGAAGGGAAACCGAGUCUUAACUGGGCGUUAAGUUGCAGGGUAUAGACCCGAAACCCGGUGAUCUAGCCAUGGGCAGGUUGAAGGUUGGGUAACACUAACUGGAGGACCGAACCGACUAAUGUUGAAAAAUUAGCGGAUGACUUGUGGCUGGGGGUGAAAGGCCAAUCAAACCGGGAGAUAGCUGGUUCUCCCCGAAAGCUAUUUAGGUAGCGCCUCGUGAAUUCAUCUCCGGGGGUAGAGCACUGUUUCGGCAAGGGGGUCAUCCCGACUUACCAACCCGAUGCAAACUGCGAAUACCGGAGAAUGUUAUCACGGGAGACACACGGCGGGUGCUAACGUCCGUCGUGAAGAGGGAAACAACCCAGACCGCCAGCUAAGGUCCCAAAGUCAUGGUUAAGUGGGAAACGAUGUGGGAAGGCCCAGACAGCCAGGAUGUUGGCUUAGAAGCAGCCAUCAUUUAAAGAAAGCGUAAUAGCUCACUGGUCGAGUCGGCCUGCGCGGAAGAUGUAACGGGGCUAAACCAUGCACCGAAGCUGCGGCAGCGACGCUGAUGCGUUGUUGGGUAGGGGAGCGUUCUGUAAGCCUGCGAAGGUGUGCUGUGAGGCAUGCUGGAGGUAUCAGAAGUGCGAAUGCUGACAUAAGUAACGAUAAAGCGGGUGAAAAGCCCGCUCGCCGGAAGACCAAGGGUUCCUGUCCAACGUUAAUCGGGGCAGGGUGAGUCGACCCCUAAGGCGAGGCCGAAAGGCGUAGUCGAUGGGAAACAGGUUAAUAUUCCUGUACUUGGUGUUACUGCGAAGGGGGGACGGAGAAGGCUAUGUUGGCCGGGCGACGGUUGUCCCGGUUUAAGCGUGUAGGCUGGUUUUCCAGGCAAAUCCGGAAAAUCAAGGCUGAGGCGUGAUGACGAGGCACUACGGUGCUGAAGCAACAAAUGCCCUGCUUCCAGGAAAAGCCUCUAAGCAUCAGGUAACAUCAAAUCGUACCCCAAACCGACACAGGUGGUCAGGUAGAGAAUACCAAGGCGCUUGAGAGAACUCGGGUGAAGGAACUAGGCAAAAUGGUGCCGUAACUUCGGGAGAAGGCACGCUGAUAUGUAGGUGAAGCGACUUGCUCGUGGAGCUGAAAUCAGUCGAAGAUACCAGCUGGCUGCAACUGUUUAUUAAAAACACAGCACUGUGCAAACACGAAAGUGGACGUAUACGGUGUGACGCCUGCCCGGUGCCGGAAGGUUAAUUGAUGGGGUCAGCGCAAGCGAAGCUCUUGAUCGAAGCCCCGGUAAACGGCGGCCGUAACUAUAACGGUCCUAAGGUAGCGAAAUUCCUUGUCGGGUAAGUUCCGACCUGCACGAAUGGCGUAAUGAUGGCCAGGCUGUCUCCACCCGAGACUCAGUGAAAUUGAACUCGCUGUGAAGAUGCAGUGUACCCGCGGCAAGACGGAAAGACCCCGUGAACCUUUACUAUAGCUUGACACUGAACAUUGAGCCUUGAUGUGUAGGAUAGGUGGGAGGCUUUGAAGUGUGGACGCCAGUCUGCAUGGAGCCGACCUUGAAAUACCACCCUUUAAUGUUUGAUGUUCUAACGUUGACCCGUGAUCCGGGUUGCGGACAGUGUCUGGUGGGUAGUUUGACUGGGGCGGUCUCCUCCUAAAGAGUAACGGAGGAGCACGAAGGUUGGCUAAUCCUGGUCGGACAUCAGGAGGUUAGUGCAAUGGCAUAAGCCAGCUUGACUGCGAGCGUGACGGCGCGAGCAGGUGCGAAAGCAGGUCAUAGUGAUCCGGUGGUUCUGAAUGGAAGGGCCAUCGCUCAACGGAUAAAAGGUACUCCGGGGAUAACAGGCUGAUACCGCCCAAGAGUUCAUAUCGACGGCGGUGUUUGGCACCUCGAUGUCGGCUCAUCACAUCCUGGGGCUGAAGUAGGUCCCAAGGGUAUGGCUGUUCGCCAUUUAAAGUGGUACGCGAGCUGGGUUUAGAACGUCGUGAGACAGUUCGGUCCCUAUCUGCCGUGGGCGCUGGAGAACUGAGGGGGGCUGCUCCUAGUACGAGAGGACCGGAGUGGACGCAUCACUGGUGUUCGGGUUGUCAUGCCAAUGGCACUGCCCGGUAGCUAAAUGCGGAAGAGAUAAGUGCUGAAAGCAUCUAAGCACGAAACUUGCCCCGAGAUGAGUUCUCCCUGACUCCUUGAGAGUCCUGAAGGAACGUUGAAGACGACGACGUUGAUAGGCCGGGUGUGUAAGCGCAGCGAUGCGUUGAGCUAACCGGUACUAAUGAACCGUGAGGCUUAACCUU
rnacentral:rRNA from 1 species